GCCGCCGUGGCGGAAUUGGUAGACGCGCCGGACUUAAAAUCCGUUGACCGCAAGGUCGUCCCGGUUCGAUUCCGGGCGGCGGCA
rnacentral:tRNA from 1 species